GUCGUGAGAUGUUGGGUUAAGUCCCGCAACGAGCGCAACCCUUGUCCUAUGUUGCCAGCGGGUAAUGCCGGGGACUCGUAGGAGACUGCCGGGGUCAACUCGGAGGAAGGUGGGGACGACGUCAAGUCAUCAUGCCCCUUAUGUCCAGGGCUGCAAACAUGCUACAAUGGCCGGUACAAAGGGCUGCUAUCCCGCGAGGGUGAGCGAAUCCCAAAAAGCCGGUCUCAGUUCGGAUUGGAGUCUGCAACUCGACUCCAUGAAGUCGGAGUCGCUAGUAAUCCCGGAUCAGCACUGCCGGGGUGAAUACGUUCCCGGGCCUUGUACACACCGCCCGUCACACCACGAAAGUCGGCAACACCCGAAGCCGGUGGCCUAACCCUUGUGGAAGGAGCCGUCGAAGGUGGGGUCGGUGAUUGGGGUGAAGUCGUAACAAGGUAGCCGUACCGGAAGGUGCGGCUGGAUCACCUCCUUUCUAAGGAGCUCAGAACCCACCGGCCGGCAUCAGCCGGCGGGAUGGGUUCAAAGCAUCCCAGUUGAUGCACUGGCGGUCCGUUGGUGGUUGGUCACCGGUCGUAGACCUCGGUCUCCCGGUCGUCGAUCACUCCACCUUCAGACACAAUCCUCUCUUCCGUUUUGAGGGAGUCGCCUCAUGGCGCUCCUCCCUUUCCAGGCCAGAAGCAACCGCUGCGAGCGUGCCGAUUCGGCGUGCCCUUCGGACUUCCCUGAGCCCUCCCGCCCCCGUGGUGGUCGAGGACGGCCCCUUGAGAACUGCAGAGCGAGCACGAGCAUCUUUGAGUUCUUCCAAGCUACAAAGAGCCAACGGUGGAUGCCUUGGCGUCUACUACCGAUGAAGGACGUGGGUGGCUGCGAAAAGCCACGGUUAGCUGCCGACCAAGCGCCUGAGCCGUGGAUGU
rnacentral:sRNA from 1 species